CACGUAGGGGACGAGCGUUGUCCGGAUUCAUUGGGCGUAAAGGGCGCGUAGGUGGUUCUGUAUGUCUACCGUGAAAGCGUACGGCUCAACCGUAUUUUGUCGGUGGAAACUGCAGGACUUGAGGCUGGGAGGGGCUGGUGGAAUUCCCUGUGUAGCGGUGAAAUGCGUAGAGAUGGGGGAGAACACUCGUGGCGAAGGCGGCCAGCUAGACCAGUUCUGACACUGAGGCGCGACAGCGUGGGGAGCAAACAGG
rnacentral:rRNA from 1 species